rnacentral:rRNA from 1 species
GACGAACGCUGGCGGCGUGCCUAAUACAUGCAAGUUGAGCGCUGAAGGUUGGUACUUGUACCAACUGGAUGAGCAGCGAACGGGUGAGUAACGCGUGGGGAAUCUGCCUUUGAGCGGGGGACAACAUUUGGAAACGAAUGCUAAUACCGCAUAAAAACUUUAAACACAAGUUUUAAGUUUGAAAGAUGCAAUUGCAUCACUCAAAGAUGAUCCCGCGUUGUAUUAGCUAGUUGGUGAGGUAAAGGCUCACCAAGGCGAUGAUACAUAGCCGACCUGAGAGGGUGAUCGGCCACAUUGGGACUGAGACACGGCCCAAACUCCUUCGGGAGGCAGCAGGAGGGAAUCUUCGGCAAUGGACGAAAGUCUGACCGAGCAACGCCGCGGGAGUGAAGAAGGUUUUCGGAUCGUAAAACUCUGUUGGUAGAGAAGAACGUUGGUGAGAGUGGAAAGCUCAUCAAGUGACGGUAACUACCCAGAAAGGGACGGCUAACUACGUG